GACGAACGCUGGCGGCGUGCUUAACACAUGCAAGUCGAACGGAAAGGCCUGCUUUCCCUUGUGGAUUGCGGGUACUCGAGUGGCGAACGGGUGAGUAACACGUGAGUGAUCUGCCCCCAACUUGGGUAUAAGCCUGGGAAACUGAGUCUAAUUCCCGAUAGGACUGCAGGGUGGUGCCUGUGGUGGAAAACGAUUUUCUAGUGGUUGGGGAUGAGCUCGCGGCCUAUCAGCUUGUUGGUGGGGUAAUGGCCUACCAAGGCGGCGACGGGUAGCCGGCCUGAGAGGGUGGACGGCCACAUUGGGACUGAGAUACGGCCCAGACUCCUACGGGAGGCAGCAGUGGGGAAUAUUGCACAAUGGGCGGAAGCCUGAUGCAGCGACGCUGCGUGGGGGAUGACGGCCUUCGGGUUGUAAACUCCUUUCGACCGCGAGGAAGCCACCUGGUUGGAAGGGUGGUGACGGUAGUGGUAGAAGAAGCACCGGCUAACUACGU
rnacentral:rRNA from 1 species